UACGUAGGGUGCAAGCGUUGUCCGGAAUUAUUGGGCGUAAAGAGCUCGUAGGCGGCUUGUCACGUCGACUGUGAAAACCCGGGGCUCAACUCCGGGCCUGCAGUCGAUACGGGCUGGCUUGAGUGCGGUAGGGGAGACUGGAAUUCCUGGUGUAGCGGUGAAAUGCGCAGAUAUCAGGAAGAACACCCGUGGCGAAGGCGGCUCUCUGGAACGCAACUGACGCUGAGACGCGAAAGCGUGGGGAGCAAACAGG
rnacentral:rRNA from 1 species